rnacentral:rRNA from 1 species
UACGGAGGGUGCGAGCGUUAAUCGGAAUAACUGGGCGUAAAGGGCACGCAGGCGGGCUUUUGAGUGAGAUGUGAAAUCCCCGGGCUUAACCUGGGAAUAGCAUUUCAGACUGGGAGUCUAGAGUACUUUAGGGGGGGGUAGAAUUCCACGUGUAGCGGUGAAAUGCGUAGAGAUGUGGAGGAACACCGAAGGCGAAGGCAGCUCCUUGGGAAGGUACUGACGCUCAGGUGCGAAAGCGUGGGGAGCGAACAGG